rnacentral:rRNA from 1 species
AUUGAACGCUGGCGGCAUGCUUUACACAUGCAAGUCGAACGGCCGCGCGGGCUUCGGUCUGGCGGCGAGUGGCGAACGGGGGAGUAAUGCAUCGGAACGUGCCCCGUCGGGGGGGAUUGCCCGCCGAAAGCCGGAUUAAUACCGCAUACGACCUGUGGGGGCAAGAGGGGGGCCCGAAGGCCUCGCGCUAUUGGGGCGUGUGAUGUCGGAUUUACUAGUUGGUGGGUUGAAGGCCUACGAAGGCGACGAGCCGUAGCGGGUCUGAGAGGCCGACCAGACACACUGGGACUGAGACAGGGCACAGACUCCUACGGGAGGCAGCAGUGGGGAAUUUUAGGCAAUGGGGGCAACCCUGAUCCAGCCAUGCCGCGUGCGGGAAGAAGGCCUUCGGGUUGUAAACCGCUUUUGUUCGGGAAGAAAUCCUCUGGGCUAAUACCCCGGGGGGAUGACGGUACCGGAAGAAUAAGCACCGGCUAACUACGUG